CCUUUGUUGUUGUUAGCUUGUUACAAACGAGGCGAAGCCGAAAAGGGCGAAACCAAACUGUAGCUAAUUUAUACUUAUAUUCCUGUGAUUUCAAUUACCAAAUUGAAUUUCGUAUCAUAUUCUUCUAGAUGCAUACUGUCAGUGUCAGUCAUUCCCACAAGUUGACUUAGCGCUCAGUCAAUUUCCAUCCAUUAGGCCCAUCAUGCUGUCAAAAGCCUAAAAAUCAUGUUUGAAGAUCACAUGUAGUGGAAUACAAAUCUGCCGAGAUAAGGUAUCCUGAACCAUAAGACUUUUCUGAAUCUUGCAAUUUUUGUGACGCACCCUGCAACACCAUGUUUGUUGUUAUGGAUGCUACUGCAAUACUUCAUGACACUUUCUUUGACAUCAGGAAAUUUACAUCAACCUAAGGAGUAAUGCUGUUUGUUGCUGUGAAUUGAAUUUUUACAGUUUUUUCAUCGUGAGCAUUUCAGUGUGCUUCUUA